rnacentral:rRNA from 1 species
UACGUAGGAGGCGAGCGUUGUCCGGAGUUACUGGGCGUAAAGGGUGCGCAGGCGGCCCGACAGGUGUGUGGUGAAAUCUCCCGGCUUACCUGGGAGGGGGCCACGCAAACCGUUGGGCUUGAGGCUCGGGGAGGGGCGUGGAAUUCCGGGUGGAGUGGUGAAAUGCGCAGAUAUCAGGAAGAACACCGGUGGCGAAGGCGGUGGGCUGGGCCGGCACUGACGCUGAGGAGCGAAAGCGUGGGGAGCGAACAGG